rnacentral:rRNA from 1 species
UACGAAGGGGGCUAGCGUUGCUCGGAAUCACUGGGCGUAAAGCGCACGUAGGCGGAUUGUUAAGUCAGGGGUGAAAUCCCGGGGCUCAACCCCGGAACUGCCUUUGAUACUGGCAUUCUCGAGUCCGGAAGAGGUGAGUGGAAUUCCGAGUGUAGAGGUGAAAUUCGUAGAUAUUCGGAGGAACACCAGUGGCGAAGGCGGCCUCACUGGUCCGGAACUGACGCUGAGGUGCGAAAGCGUGGGGAGCAAACAGG